UACGUAGGGUGCUAGCGUUGUUCGGAAUCAUUGGGCGUAAAGCGCGUGUAGGCGGUCAGCUAAGUUGGAUGUGAAAUCCCUCGGCUCAACCGAGGAAGUGCAUUCAAAACUAACUGGCUUGAGAGUGGUAGAGGAAGGUGGAAUUCCUAGUGUAGAGGUGAAAUUCGUAGAUAUUAGGAGGAAUACCGGAGGCGAAGGCGGCCUUCUGGACCAUUUCUGACACUGAGACGCGAAAGCGUGGGUAGCAAACAGG
rnacentral:rRNA from 1 species